CUACGGGCGGCUCCAGUGGGGAAUAUUGGACAAUGGGGGAAACCCUGAUCCAGCAAUGCCGCGUGUGUGAAGAAGGCCUGCGGGUUGUAAAGCACUUUCGGUUGGGAGGACUGCUUCUAGCACUAAUAUUGUUGGAAGUUGACGUUACCUUCAGAAGAAGCACCGGCUAACUCCGUGCCAGCAGCGCGCGGUAAUACGGAGGGUGCAAGCGUUAAUCGGAAUUACUGGGCGUAAAGCGCGCGUAGGCGGCUAGAUCAGUCGGGUGUGAAAGCCCCGGGCUUAACCUGGGAACUGCAUCCGAUACUGUCUAGCUUGAGUACAGGAGAGGAGAGUGGAAUUCCACAUGUAGCGGUGACAUGCGUAGAUAUGUGGAGGAACACCAAUGGCGAAGGCAGCUCUCUGGCCUGAUACUGACGCUGAGGUGCGAAAGCGUGGGGAGCAAACAGGAUUAGAUACCCCAGUAGUC
rnacentral:rRNA from 1 species